AGCUAUUUAACUAAAUAAGAUAAUAUCUUGAAAAUAUUAUAUAGAGCAUAACCAUUCUAAUAGCUU
rnacentral:tRNA from 1 species